GUCUCCACCGCACAUGCCUCGGCGAGCGUCGUCCAUCCUCCCCACGCGAGGCACGAUGGCCAGACAACCACCACCACCACCACUGCCCCGCCUCGCCGCGCCGUCUCCGCCGCACACGCCCCGUCGAACGUCCUCCAUCCUCCCGCGCGAGGCACGGCGGCCGCCGGCUCAAGACAUAAUGGAUAAGAUGAAGGGGAGGGUAAGGACUGAAUUCAAAUAACUAUAGGGUUUGUUUUGUAAAAGUGAAAUGUUUUCUCAGAAUGCCACUAAAGCAGGGACCGGGGGUUGAUUUCAUGUAAACCGAGGUUUUUUUUUUUGAAAAACUAACACUACGACGGACCACCAGAAGCAAUAGCUGUUUUAUUAUUACUAGCACAAAUGCCAAAACAAUGGUUCCUAUCAAUCAAGGUUGGCCAGGUUGAGGAACUAUGUAGUAGAAGAAUGGUCGCUACUGACAAGGAAGGAUGGAUCAAUCGAGGAACGUGUGGCGUGAGCUCGAGACGGCGGUAUGAUUCCAUGUAAACUAAUUGACUGAACAACAUUAAGUUUAGAUUAUUAGAUCUACUGAAAAAUUAUGCAUAAUAGCUCAAAUUUUCUGUGCAAUAACACAAUCUCCAAAAAGAAUGGCCACUUCUUUUAUAUAUACACACAGAGAAAAGAGUAAUGUAAACAUUCUUUACCGAGAAUGCGCAUUGGUAUUUUUGGAUUUUUGGAUAAUCGAAUGCUUAGGAUGACACAUUCUAUAGCCUUCGUGCCCCAAAGCAACCAAGAGGUUGGGAGUUCAAUAUCAAAACCAAACAUAUAUUUUCACCUUUUUUGUCAAAGGUGGCAGGAGCAGGCCCAUCACAGGAAGGUCUAGGCCCAGCCGGUUGGGGCGUAGCGCAUGUUUUCAUGUGAAACGGUACCACCUCGUCGGGUAAUAAAAUAAUUUUAAAAAUUCAAAAUAAUGAAAUCACCUAAGCGGGACGAAACCAAAAAUAUCACCUUGCUUUAAUAGUAGGUAUAGACUAGCAAAAAAUGCCCGUGUGUUGCAAUGGAAGAGAAAAAAAAAUUGCAUGUAUGUACUUCAAAAAGUAUGGCUCAUGACCUCCAUAGGUCCACACCAUCUUCUCUAACACGAUGUUCACCUAUGUCACCUCUUAAAGCUCCUUUCCGCUCUCAUCGAUAGUGGUCACGGUGUCCAAGACAAUGCACACGAGCAACACAAAUAAUGAUAGAAAUGAGUAGAGUGUGUUUUUCCAUAUAACUUCAUUCAAAACAAAUAAUAAAUAGCACAUAGGUAAUCAUAGCGCAUACCAUCAAAAUAUACAGCCAUUAAUAUUGUGUAACCGUUUUCUCCGGCUAACAAAAUCACUUUGAUAUUAUUUUAAAAGCUACAUCCUUUUGAUCGAUGGAUGUGUACAAUUGAAAACCUUGACAAUUGAAAUAUAAAAUUAAGUUGUUAAAUUUUGAUCUACCGAUAUUUUUUUGAUUUUUUAUAAUCAAACUACAUGGUCAUGUGCAAUUUUCUUUUUUGAGAAGCACCAUGUGCAAAUUAGUACUCUAGCAAUCCAACCACGUACACUUGGAUGUGUUACCACGGGCCAGCUACUUGGGCCUGACUAACCUCGCAGGAAGUCGAGCUAACACCUAUGGCCCAGCCGCCCCACCGCUUGGGUAUGGCAGCGCACACGCCUUAUCCCCUGGUUCCCCACCGCUGAAAUAUUAUCCUCUCGUCUCGAUUCUUCCUCUCCCUCUCACUUUCCUCAUCUUCAUUCGCGCAAGGUGCGGGCUUUGCAAGGCUGCUCUCCAAGGGGCAGGCGACAGCCACUGGUGACACCGUGUGUCACAACACACGCAUUUUCAACUUGUACACUGGGAAGUCACCAUGGAACAACCCCGCUGCCUUGGAGCUCGCCCCGCCUCCGGCCGGCCACCCAUCCGUCGGCCUCGUGCUCCUCCACCUCGAUCCGUCCACCCCACUGCUGGAUCCACGCCGGAGCAGCCGGGUCCGCCGCCCAGACCACCAACCAAGAGCCGCCUCUUGCCUGUCCUACGGUCGGGAGGAGGACGACCGAGAGGAGCGGCCAUUGAUCCGUCACCUGGGCCGCCUUGGAGCACGCCCUGCCUCCGGCCCGCCACCUCUCCGUCAGCCUCGCGCUCCUCCGACAUGAUCCGUCUGCCCCGCCGCCGAAUCCGCCGCCCAGACCACCAACCAAGCGUCGGCCCUUGCCUUUCAUACGAAACUAAGCUACAACAUCCAGCUACGCUAGCCCACUUAUCUGACUAUGUACAACUUACACACUAGUUAUAUCGUUCUGAAACAAGAAUAAACAAAAAAGGCAGUGAUUAGUAACUAAAAAUUCAAACUGGCAGCCUCAUUUGUACGGGUUUUAGAACAAUGUACCCUAGUUUUAUCAUUUUUUCUGCACGUCUCACAUGGUUCACAAACCCGGGCGUCCUCUUCACUCCUUUUAAGAUGUAAAAUAUCAUGAUGUUUGCACGCAAGUUAUCAGGUACAAAAUUCUAAUGUUGCCAUGCUUUUCUCA